CCUACGGGAGGCAGCAGUAAGGAAUAUUGGACAAUGGCCGCAAGGCUGAUCCAGCCAUGCCGCGUGCAGGAUGAAGGGCUCUGCAUUGUAAACUGCUUUUGUUUGGGAAUAUGUACCAAAAGAAUAAGGGACGGCUAACUUCGUGCCAGCAGCCGCGGUAAUACGAAGGUCCCAAGCGUUAUCCGGAUUUAUUGGGUUUAAAGGGUGCGUAGGCGGGUUAUUAAGUCAGUGGUGAAAGCCUACAGCUUAACUGUAGAAUUGCCAUUGAUACUGAUGAUCUUGAGUAUGAUUGAGGUGGGCGGAAUGUGUCAUGUAGCGGUGAAAUGCUUAGAUAUGACACAGAACACCGAUUGCGAAGGCAGCUCACUAUCAUAACUGACGCUGAUGCACGAAAGCGUGGGGAGCAAACAGGAUUAGAUACCCUUGUAGUC
rnacentral:rRNA from 1 species